rnacentral:rRNA from 1 species
UGAUGACGAGACGCUAAGGCGUUGAAGCAGUGUAUGUCAGACUUCCAAGAAAAGCUCGCAAUGUCACAAAUAAAAGAUGCCUGUACCAUAACCGACACAGGUGGGUAGGUAGAGUAUACUAAGGGGCGCGAGAUAACUCUCUCUAAGGAACUCGGCAAAAUGACUCCGUAACUUCGGGAGAAGGAGUGCCUUAUUUAUAAGGUUGCAAUAACAAGAUCCAAGCAACUGUUCAUCAAAAACACAGGUCUCCGCUAAGUCGUAAGACGAUGUAUGGGGGCUGACGCCUGCCCAGUGCCAGAAGGUUAAAGAAGUUGGUUAGUGUAUGCGAAGCUGAUGACUGAAGCCCUGGUGAACGGCGGCCGUAACUAUAACGGUCCUAAGGUAGCGAAAUUCCUUGUCGGGUAAGUUCCGACCCGCACGAAAGGCGUAAUGAUUUGGAUACUGUCUCGGAGAGAGGCUCGGUGAAAUAGACUUGUCUGUGAAGAUGCGGACUACCUGCACCAGGACAGAAAGACCCUAUGAAGCUUUACUGUAACUUGAAAUUGGAAUUGGACUUUGCUUGCGCAGUAUAGGUGGGAAGCGUUGAAAAUAUUCUUGCGGGAGUAUUGGAGCUAUCAGUGAGAUACCACUCUUGUAAUGUUAGAUUUCUAACUUUGAACCAUAAUCUGGUCAAAGAACAGUUUCAGGUGGGCAGUUUGACUGGGGCGGUCGCCUCCCAAAUGGUAACGGAGGCGUACAAAGGUUUCCUCUGAACGGAUAGAAAUCGUAUCUAGAGUGUAAAGGCAUAAGGAAGCUUGACUGUGAGACCUACAAGUCGAGCAGGGACGAAAGUCGGUCUUAGUGAUCUGACGGUACUGAGUGGAAAGGCCGUCACUCAACGGAUAAAAGUUACUCUAGGGAUAACAGGCUGAUCUCCCCCAAGAGUUCACAUCGACGGGGAGGUUUGGCACCUCGAUGUCGGCUCAUCGCAUCCUGGGGCGGUAGUACGUCCCAAGGGUUGGGCUGUUCGCCCAUGAAAGCGGUACGCGAGCUGGGUUCAGAACGUCGUGAGACAGUUCGGUCCAUAUCCGGUGUAGGCGCUAGAAUAUUGAGAGGAGCCUUCUUUAGUACGAGAGGACCGAGAAGGACACACCGCUGGUGUACCAGUUAUCGUGCCAACGGUAAACGCUGGGUAGCUAUGUGUGGAGUGGAUAACCGCUGAAAGCAUCUAAGUGGGAAGCCCACCUCGAGAUGAGUAUUCAC